AACGAACGCUGGCGGCAUGCCUAACACAUGCAAGUCGAACGAGACCUCCGGGUCUAGUGGCGCACGGGUGCGUAACGCGUGGGAACCUGCCCUUAGGUUCGGAAUAACUCCCCGAAAGGGGUGCUAAUACCGGAUAAUGUCUUCGGACCAAAGAUUUAUCGCCUUUGGAUGGGCCCGCGUUGGAUUAGCUAGUUGGUAGGGUAAAAGCCUACCAAGGCGACGAUCCAUAGCUGGUCUGAGAGGAUGAUCAGCCACACUGGGACUGAGACACGGCCCAGACUCCUACGGGAGGCAGCAGUGGGGAAUAUUGGACAAUGGGCGAAAGCCUGAUCCAGCAAUGACGCGUGAGUGAUGAAGGCCUUAGGGUUGUAAAGCUCUUUUACCCGGGAUGAUAAUGACAGUACCGGGAGAAUAAGCUCCGGCUAACUCCGUG
rnacentral:rRNA from 1 species